CCUUCCCAUACUGCAAACUUAUGGCCAACCUAGACAGCAUAUUAAAAAGCAGAGACAUUACUUUGCCAACAAAGGUCCGUCUAGUCAAGGCUAUGGUUUACCCAGUAGUCAUGAAUGGAUGUGAGAGUUGGACCAUAAAGAAAGCUGAGUGCUGAAGAAUUGAUGCUUUUGAACUGUGGUGUUGGAGAAGACUCUUGAGAGUCCCUUGGCCUGCAAGGAGAUCCAACCAGUCCAUCUUAAAGGAGGUCAGUCCUGAAUAUUCAUUGGAAGGACUGAUGCUGAAACUGAAACUCCAAUCCUUUGGCCACCUGAUGCGAAGAACUGACUCAUUUGAAAAGACCCUGUUGCUGGGAAUGAUGGGAGGCAGGAGGAGAAGGGGAUGACAGAGGAUGACAUGGUUGAAUUGCAUCAUUGACUCAAUGGACAUGAGUUUGAGUAAAGUCCGGGAGUUGGUGAUGGACAGGGAAGCCUGGCGUGCUGCAGUCCAUGGGGUCGCCAAGAGUCACACACGACUGAGUCACUGAACUGAUACUGCAAAGCCUGAACUGUCAAAAACUACAUUUCCCAGACUCCCCUGCAGCUUGUUUUGGGGCACGUGACUUCGAUCCACCAAUCAGAGGCAUUCUCUUAAAGACAGGAACUGAGACAGAUGGGGAGAAAAAUGGUCGUGUCAGGGUGGUCCAGCAGGUGAAGUGGGGUCCUGGGUUCAGUCACACAGGCAGACAGACGCCUGGUCCCCCAGCUGUGGCAGAGCCCACAGUUCCAGUUCUGCUGAAACGAAUGAAUCUCUGAAAUGAUUCUGACAUCUCACCUUUGAACCUGUCUCCCGGAGCAAUUCAAAAUAGCGUGGCAGAGUCUCCACACAGUCCUGAUUCUCCUAUUCAACACACAACCUGUUCUCUGCAGCACCAAAUCAGAGAUGCUUCAAACAAAUAUUGCCUGUUGAAGAACAGAGAAUCAGAAAUUGAUUGGUAUGCAAUUACGUGUCAGGGAAUAAAAUAUAUUACAGUAGAUUUGCA
ensembl:lncRNA